rnacentral:rRNA from 1 species
AGUGAACGCUGGCGGUAGGCCUAACACAUGCGAGUCGAACGGCAGCACAGUAAGAGCUUGCUCUUACGGGUGGCGAGUGGCGGACGGGUGAGGAAUACAUCGGAAUCUACUUUUUCGUGGGGGAUAACGUAGGGAAACUUACGCUAAUACCGCAUACGACCUACGGGUGAAAGCAGGGGAUCUUCGGACCUUGCGCGAUUGAAUGAGCCGAUGUCGGAUUAGCUAGUUGGCGGGGUAAAGGCCCACCAAGGCGACGAUCCGUAGCUGGUCUGAGAGGAUGAUCAGCCACACUAGAACUGAGACACGGUCCAGACUCCUACGGGAGGCAGCAGUGGGGAAUAUUGGACAAUGGGCGCAAGCCUGAUCCAGCCAUACCGCGUGGGUGAAGAAGGCCUUCGGGUUGUAAAGCCCUUUUGUUGGGAAAGAAAAGCAGCAGGUUAAUACCCCGCUGUUCUGACGGUACCCAAAGAAUAAGCACCGGCUAACUUCGUG